rnacentral:tRNA from 1 species
GGGUUGUUAACUCAGCGGGAGAGUGCUACCUUCACACGGUAGAAGUCGGAGGUUCAAACCCUCUACAACCCA